rnacentral:rRNA from 1 species
ACAAUGGCUAUUACAGAGGGCAGCUGCAUGGCAACAUGAUGCAAAUCUUCAAAAAGAGUCUCAGUUCGGAUUGGAGUCUGCAACUCGACUCCAUGAAGCUGGAUUCGCUAGUAAUCGCGCAUCAGCAAUGGCGCGGUGAAUACGUUCCCGGGCCUU